rnacentral:misc_RNA from 1 species
AAUAACAAUGGAUAUCCCGGUGUGGAAUGAGUGGGUGAACAAAGUACUAAGUUUGGACUUAAUUAUUUUAAAUUUUUUGUCGUAUAACCUCAUUUUCUUUGGCGUAGUCGUGGUUAUCGUUUUACAAUGGCUUAAUACUCCGUAUGGAAGAUAUGCACGCGGGGGUUGGGGACCCUCCGUCAACGCCCAGAUAGCGUGGUUCGUGCAGGAGAUUCCAGCCUUCGCUGUGCCAUUACUACUCGUCUAUUACACCGAUUGUCCGAAACUAAAAUUUACUCCGAACAAGAUUUUUCUAGGAUUAUUUUUGUUUCACUACUUUCAAAGGUCUUCGAUUUUUCCUUUUCUAAUCAGGGGAGGUAAACCUACCCCAUUCAUCCCUUUUAUACUAGCCUUCGUAUUCUGUGUACUCAACGGCUACCUGCAAGGCGGAUAUAUUCUGAAGUACGCUGACUUUGGAAGCAAAUGGAUGUGGAACUCCAGAUUUUAUCUAGGCCGACCAUAUUCUUAGAAAUUUGAGAAAACAAGGGGAGACUGGCUAUAAAAUUCCUAGAGGUGGUUUGUUUGAAUAUGUCUCCGGAGCAAAUUUCUUUGGGGAGAUCGUAGAAUGGCUGGGGUUCGCUGUGGCUAAUGGGACUCUUCCGACAUUUGCCUUUUUCUUCUUCACUCUGUGUAACAUCGGACCGCGUGCCUGUCACCACCACCAGUAAGUCUUUUGUAUCCAUCAACACGAAGUACCACAAUGUAUUGGAUGUCUGAUACGAUACAGCAGACAUUGCAGAUACUAGUGUUUAAUUUAUAGUGAAAUAUAUGUAACACUUUGGUUUAAAGGUGAUGCGUAUUAAUUCAUCAAAAUCAUCAUUUCAAUUAAUUAGUGUUGAUGAUAGUUUUACAUAUAAUUUUAGUUUUAUUUUAUUUCCUUCAAGUGAAUUUAAAAUGAUUACAAUAUUGCAUGAUGUGCGUUAUCAUUAUGAUAAUUAUUCAAUAACGAAUUCGCAUCACUUUUAAUCUAGACAAUAACACAUACAAAUAUAUUAAACUGUUUUUUAUACAUUAUACAAAAGAUCAAAUUCAUGGUUUAUUUUUAAAGAUAUUAUACAGAAAGGUAUAGAAUUUUAGUAAUAAUUGUCAGUUAUGUAUAAUUUCAUCUUUAAAAUUUUGCAUACAAAUUCUACAUCAUAAAAGGUGGAUUCAAUCGAGAUUUAUUUCAGACACUGUUUGUUUUUACAAUUCACUAUUGUUGGAAAAUCAUGGUUCUCUGUCAGUAGAGAAAAUGCAGUAUUCUUUUUAUUCUUCGAUCUAACUUUUCUUAUUAUUCAAUUAGGUGGUAUCGAGAGAAGUUUGAAGAUUAUCCAAAGAAAAGACGAGCACUUAUUCCUUUCAUUUUAUAAGUAUUCUAGUGUGUACAAAAAUGUAUACAUCUUACUGCAUAAGUCGUCGUGUCACCAUGUACCCAACCUUCUAAUAAAUAAAGCAGGAGCCC